GCUUGCUGGGGGGAUUAGUGGCGAACGGGUGAGUAACACGUGAGUAACCUGCCCUUGACUCUGGGAUAAGCCUGGGAAACUGGGUCUAAUACCGGAUAUGACUCCUCAUCGCAUGGUGGGGGGUGGAAAGCUUUUGUGGUUUUGGAUGGACUCGCGGCCUAUCAGCUUGUUGGUGGGGUAAUGGCCUACCAAGGCGACGACGGGUAGCCGGCCUGAGAGGGUGACCGGCCACACUGGGACUGAGACACGGCCCAGACUCCUACGGGAGGCAGCAGUGGGGAAUAUUGCACAAUGGGCGGAAGCCUGAUGCAGCGACGCCGCGUGAGGGAUGACGGCCUUCGGGUUGUAAACCUCUUUCAGUAGGGAAGAAGCCGCAAGGUGACGGUACCUGCAGAAGAAGCGCCGGCUAACUACGUGCCAGCAGCCGCGGUAAUACGUAGGGCGCAAGCGUUAUCCGGAAUUAUUGGGCGUAAAGAGCUCGUA
rnacentral:rRNA from 2 species